AACAUGCCUGCAUAUGAAUUGGUUUGAAUAGUAAUUUUCAAUUCUUUGGGGUAUAUACAUAGUAGUAGAAUUACUGUAUCAUAUGGUAAUUUGAAGUUUAACUUUUAGAAGAACCAGUCAACUUUUUCAUAACAGCUGAACCAUGGUACAAUCCAACUAUAACGUUUUUUUUAAAGGUUGCAAUGGUAUUGUAUGCAAAAAAAGAAGAAGAAGAAGAAGAAGAAGAAGAAGAAGAAGAAGAAGAAGAAGAAAAAUAAGCUCUUAAACUGGACACAAUGGCACAUACAUGUCUGUAAUCCCAGUGACUCAGAAGGAUGAAGCAGGAGGAUUGCAAGUUUAAGGCUAGCCUCAGCAACUUAGUGAGACCUUGUCUCAAAAUAAAAAGGGCUGGGAAUGUAGCUAAGUGGUAGAGUGCCCCUGUGCUCAAUCCCCAGUAUCCACCCGCCAAGAAAAAAAUACCUCUUAAACUUUUCUUUUAUAAAUUGGAAAACUUUAAUCAGUUCCCUGAAAUCUCAGUGGGCUCCUGGUGCACCAUCUGCCUGGCCUCUGUUCUGUGCUGACCCAAAGCAUGGGGGCUGGCUGCCCACCCUCCUCCUGCACACACACACACACACACACACACACACUCGGAACUCAUUGUUACUAACUUUGAAUGGAAGCUUUUAGCUGCUCUAUUCUUCUUGGGUUCAUUGAAGGCUUGUCAAUGGAAUGGGAAUUACAACCCUGGCAGCUGCUAUCUGUAUCCGUUGUCUGGCUGGCUGGUGUGUUACUGGUUAUAUGUCCCAGAGAAUUAAUCCCCUAAAUGUGGAUGGCGAAUGAUGAAAACCUAGCACAUAAAUAAGGAAGCAAGCAGCGAUCUGCUGACAAACCUCAGGAAGCAAUUGUCUAGUCCCAAUGCAUUAUAUGCAAUGCUCCUAAACUCCAGGGCCCGUCAUCCACAGGACAGAUAGACUUCAUUCAUUCAUUCAUUCAGUGGACAUAUGAGGAACGGAGCACUUAUUCCCUGUCAAUGUUCUGGAUGUUUUAUGUGAGUGAUGUUGUAUAAGACUUGCAAUGGUCCUAUAAUAGAAAAGUUCAGGAAUAUGGAGAUUUAGAGAAAUUUCCCCAAAGUCACAUAGUGGAAACAGGACUUGAAGCUGGAUUCCUCAGGGCUUAGAUUAUUUAGAAUUUCUUUUCUUUUCUUCUUCUUUCCUCUCUUCUCUCUUGCCUGCCUUCCUUCUACACUUAUUUACAACAUUCUCCAUAUGCUAGGCACCAUGGAUGUCCCAGUGAAUGAGACAGCAGAUGUAAGCUCUUUCUUGUCCCUCUUCCAUUGAGUCCUGUGACUCCCGGGUAUCACCUCAACCCUCUACAGUUUCUUCUGGAAUGUUCUAAUGCACAAAUGCAAGACAGACCCAAGAGUGAUGACAUUGAAGAUGAAUUAAAUUCAGGCCCUGGGCUCAUGCUUCCUUGGAUACAGACUUCAAAUCUCAUGGCUCAAAAACAUGCCAAACAAAUCUUAACCCACCCCUCCCCUGCUCCCAAACCUCCCACGGCCUGAGGCUCAGCUCAUAUCUCUGUGACAUGAGAAAUGGUCAAGGUCCAAGUGGAGGCUCUCUCUACGAGCUGAAUCACAUGGAAAGGAUGGGGCGAUCAUUUUCACAAGUACCUUUCUGUGCAUAAUGUGAAAUUCAUGGAUGGAUGGCAUCAUCUGGGCAUCCAGCCAGGGGAGGCAUUUCUCCAAACUGAAGGACAAGGUGAGAUGGAAAGACCAGCUCUCCUUGAAAGAUGCCCUCAAGUCACGCACAUACCCUGUUCAUUUGUGAACAGCACCCAGACCUUCCAUUUACCAUUGGUGCACGGGUGUAUAUAGUCAGAAGGGGAGAAUUUCAGGACCCACCGAAUGACAGCAUACCAUCCAUUUUCACAGUAGCAAACCACUCUGAUCCUCGAAAAGUUGUACCUCUCUGGUUCUGCCACUGGAGUCCAAGAAUCUGCAUUUAAAAGCUCAACACGUUAAUCUGAUGUGUGGCCAGGUUUGGAAAGUUCUGGCAUAGACAAAUGUUUUACCCUUCCUGUCUCUCUCUCUCUGUCUCUCUCUCUCUGUCUCUCUCUCUCUCUCUCUCUCUCUCCUCCCAAUUCUGUUUUGCUUGAUUUUCUAGUUUCCCAGCUUCCGUCACCAAAUAUGGCUCUUUUCAGACUGUACUCCUCGUCUGUUGGGCCUGGGAUCUCCAUGUGGAUUUUCAGCUUUGCUGACUUUCUUGUCUAGCUCCAAGGAAUCUCUCCCUAGCCCCAGGUGGACUUGGCUGGUCUCCACCCACCACCCUACCACCAGGGCUCCACUGUUCCUGAUCGUCUCCCUCCACACAAACACAGCUUCCAUUCUUGGCUAUUGAAUCCAUCCACCAGGUCUCCACCACCAGACCAAGCAGAGGAUGGGAAAAAUCAUUCCCAUACUUCAGACACUCAUUCAAGCAAAAAUGAUUUCCUCCCCUUGAAUGAUCCAGGAGGUUGUUUUCGGAGGAGAGGAUCUGUAGGUAAACGAGAAGGAGCUUCAAUACUGAGCAACAUGAAGAUAAAAAUGAUGCUACCUCCAGUCCACUUUCUGGAAGGGACCCACUCUGUUUCGCUUCUCCCUGACACAUGCAUCAGCAAGGAGCAAAUUACCAUUUAUUAAACCCUAAUUAUCACUCCUGUUUUUCAAUACUGUUCUCUGUGUAUGUGCCCCUCCCCACCCCCAGGCCUGCACUUCACUGCCACUAAAUUAGCAAUACAUCUUGUUAGCAUAGCAUCCAUAUUUAUAGGCAGUGUUGACUGAUGCUGUAGUGACAUGGUACAAAGUCAAAGGCCUUUAAUAAA